rnacentral:rRNA from 1 species
CCUACGGGGGGCAGCAGUGAGGAAUAUUGGUCAAUGGCCGGAAGGCUGAACCAGCCAAGUCGCGUGAGGGACGACUGCCCUAUGGGUUGUAAACCUCUUUUAUAAGGGAAGAAUAAAUGCUACGUGUAGCAUGAUGCCUAUACCUUAUGAAUAAGCAUCGGCUAACUCCGUGCCAGCAGCCGCGGUAAUACGGAGGAUGCGAGCGUUAUCCGGAUUUAUUGGGUUUAAAGGGUGCGCAGGCGGAGGCACAAGUCAGCGGUAAAAUCGCGGUGCUCAACCCCGCUCCGCCGUUGAAACUGUGUCCU